rnacentral:piRNA from 1 species
UGGGAUUAAAAGUGUGCCCUGCCACUGUUUGA